CGCGUCUUANCAUGCAAGUCGAACGAUGAACCACUUCGGUGGGGAUUAGUUGGCGAACGGGUGAGUAACACGUUGGGCAAUCUGCCCUGCACUCUGGGACAAGCCCUGGAAACGGGGUCUAAUACCGGAUACUGACCCGCCUGGGCAUCCAGGCGGUUCGAAAGCUCCGGCGGUGCAGGAUGAGCCCGCGGCCUAUCAGCUUGUUGGUGAGGUAACGGCUCACCAAGGCGACGACGGGUAGCCGGCCUGAGAGGGCGACCGGCCACACUGGGACUGAGACACGGCCCAGACUCCUACGGGAAGGCAGCAGA
rnacentral:rRNA from 1 species